AUGCUGCAGAUGUCUGAUUCCUCGGAGCCCUCGAAAGAAGGUUCUUCAGCCAAUGGUUCCAGUGCUCUCCAAAAAACUGGAGCCUGGAGUAGCAUAUUGAGCACUCUUGUCCAGCAAGCUUCAGUGUAUGGCUUGGCUGCUGGCUAUUGCCUGUCAGCAUCUUUGCUCUCCAUUAUCAACAAAUGGGCAAUCAUGAAAUUUCCGUACCCUGGGGCACUGACAGCUCUACAGUACUUGACCAGUGUUGUUGGAGUUCUCCUAUGUGGACAAGCAAAGCUUAUUGAGCAUGAUGGCCUUAAUUUCGCAACCAUGUGGAAGUUCUUACCUGCUGCUGUGAUGUUCUACAUCUCCAUCUUCACAAACAGCGAACUCUUGCUGCAUGCCAAUGUGGACACUUUCAUUGUGUUUCGCUCUGCUGUGCCAAUAUUUGUGGCCAUCGGAGAGACGUUGUACCUUCACCAACCAUGGCCGUCAUUCAAGACAUGGCUUUCACUAUCCACCAUACUUGGUGGAAGUGUGAUCUACGUUUUCACAGACAACCAGUUCACUGUGACUGCUUAUAGCUGGGCAGUGGCCUACCUAGCGAGUAUGUCCAUUGAUUUCGUAUACAUCAAGCACGUUGUCAUGACCAUUGGCCUGAAUACAUGGGGCCUUGUGCUUUACAACAAUCUUGAGGCCUUGAUGCUGUUCCCCAUUGAGCUCCUUGUAAUGGGAGAGUUCAGUCAGAUGAAGGUCGACAGCUCUAAGAUGACAAACUGGCUGCCAUUCGACAUGAUUCUUCCGGUUGCUUUGUCGUGCCUUUUUGGGUUAGCAAUAUCCUUCUUUGGGUUCUCCUGCAGACGGGCUAUCUCAGCUACUGGAUUUACGGUCCUUGGUAUAGUAAACAAGCUCCUCACUGUCGUGAUUAAUCUGCUUAUCUGGGACAAGCAUUCAUCCCUUGUGGGAACAAUUGGGCUGUUGAUCUGCAUGUCUGGUGGUGUUCUGUACCAGCAAUCCACCACAAAGCCCAAGGCACCAAAUGUUGAGCCGAAGGAAGAGAAUGAUGAGGAGGAACAGAAGUUGCUUGAGAUGCAGCAAGGGCGUGACAUCAGUUCAACUGAAGAGCAUUCCUCAUAA
rnacentral:rRNA from 1 species